rnacentral:rRNA from 1 species
UACGUAGGGGGCAAGCGUUGUCCGGAAUCAUUGGGCGUAAAGCGCGUGUAGGCGGCCCGGUAAGUCCGCUGUGAAAGUCGGGGGCUCAACCCUCGAAUGCCGGUGGAUACUGUCGGGCUAGAGUGCGGAAGAGGAGAGUGGAAUUCCCGGUGUAGCGGUGAAAUGCGCAGAUAUCGGGAAGAACACCCGUGGCGAAGGCGGCUCUCUGGGCCGAUACUGACGCUGAGGAGCGAAAGCGUGGGGAUCAAACAGG